rnacentral:rRNA from 1 species
GUGAGGAAUAUUGGUCAAUGGGCGCGAGCCUGAACCAGCCAAGUAGCGUGAGGGAUGACUGCCCUAUGGGUUGUAAACCUCUUUUGCAGGGGGGUAAAGUGGUUCACGUGUGGACCAUUGCAAGUACCCUGCGAAUAAGGAUCGGCUAACUCCGUGCCAGCAGCCGCGGUAAUACGGAGGAUCCGAGCGUUAUCCGGAUUUAUUGGGUUUAAAGGGAGCGUAGGCGGGGGUUUAAGUCAGCUGUGAAAUGCCGUGGCCCAACCAUGGAACUGCAGUUGAAACUGGACCUCUUGAGAGUACAUAAGGAAGGCGGAAUUCGUGGUGUAGCGGUGAAAUGCAUAGAUAUCACGAAGAACUCCGAUUGCGAAGGCAGCUUUCCGGGGUACAUCUGACGCUGAAGCUCGAAAGUGCGGGAAUCAAACAGGAUUAGAUACCCCUGUAGUCC